rnacentral:rRNA from 1 species
UACGUAGGGUGCAAGCGUUUGUCCGGAAUUAUUGGGCGUAAAGAGCUCGUAGGCGGUCUGUCGCGUCUGCUGUGAAAACCUAGGGCUUAACUCUGGGCGUGCAGUGGGUACGGGCAGGCUAGAGUGCGGUAGGGGAGACUGGAAUUCCUGGUGUAGCGGUGAAAUGCGCAGAUAUCAGGAGGAACACCGGUGGCGAAGGCGGGUCUCUGGGCCGUAACUGACGCUGAGGAGCGAAAGCGUGGGGGAGCGAACAGG